CGUUUCUCUUCCGGUUACCUUAUUUCGAACGCUAGUUUGCUCUUCCUAGCUGUGGACAAAUGUAAGAAUGGGGAAAGGAGCGUUUUACAGAUGUGUUGAGUGCAACGAAAAGGCAGCGGAGCUUCACAGGGAUUACAGCAACGGGAUUCUGAAGAUAACAAUAUGCGAUUCCUGUCAGAAGCCAGUGGAUAAAUAUAUUGAAUAUGAUCCAGUAAUUAUCUUCAUUGAUGCUAUUUUGUGCAAAGCACAAGCUUUCAGACACAUUUUAUUCAACACCAGCUUAAAUAUCCACUGGAAGCUGUGUGUGUUCUGCCUGCUGUGUGAAGCCUACCUCCGGUGGUCCGCGCUCCACGGCUCCGAGCAGAGCAGCGACCCGGCCGACAUCAUCCGUUACACCAAGGAAUGGGAGUUUUAUGGCAAGUUUGGAUUAGCUGCCCUGGAGCUGGCGGCGUUCUGCAGCGGCGUGCUGUCGUUCCUCUGGCUGUGGGAGUCCCGUCUGCAGGGACGGAGCGCCGAGCUCCACCUGCUGCUCAGAGCGCUGCUGCUGUCCUGCUACGGUAAAGUCCUCCUCAUCCCGACCGUCAUCUGGGAGCACGACUACUCCCCGCUCUGCCUGAGCCUCAUCAAGCUGUUCGUGCUCACCUCCAACUCACAGGCCAUCAGAGUGGUCCUGAACUGCAGCAGGCGUCUGUCCCUGCUGGCCGUUUGCUUCGGCCUGCUGUCAGAAACUCUGACCGCUCAGAGCUGCAGGAAACUCCAAUGGAGCAUCCAGGACAUCUGGACAUCUUAAUUAUUGUCUUUACCAUCUUCAGACUGGAAUAUCUGUUAACUCAGAGAUGGAUUACCCGCUUUAGAAAGCUACUGUUUUCUUUUCGGGGUUACUGUUUGACGCGCUCCAGUUCCUGAGCCACUCUCCAGGAAUGACGCUAACAAACCCCGAGGUUGUAAUUUCACUAGUCUGUCUGGACUGGAGUCAUGCAGCUCGCUGCACAUUCCUCUGGAUUAGCGGUGAGAUGCCUUCCUGUCUGACUCGCGUAAUGCGUGUAAACACCCAGACAACCGGGUUAAUCACCGAGUUCAUCACCUGCUGCUGCUGCUUCAAGGUCUUGUUGAAAGUUUUUCUCUGUAUUUCAGUCCCCAUGCUAACUGUUUAGGGCGAACCCCGCAUCACGCUGGAGAUAGGCAUCGGCUUCCAGGGCCGACCCAAGACUUUUUGGGUCCCUAAGCAUAUUUCUACGGCAACAUGACCAGAUGCUGCAUCAUUCCAAAGCUACUCUAGACGUGGAGGCAUAAUAACACCAAUAGCCUUGUUUACUGGUGUUAUUGUGCUAGUGGUAUUUAAAUGUCCCAUAAUAAUUUAACUAUUUGAAAGUAACAUCAACUAAUAAGCACUAAAUUUACAGUAAACAAGUUGAAAAGUUUCAUAUCUUAUAUUUUCCCAACAGCAGGAAGGACUUAGUCUAUUAUUUGUGUACCAGCUAUAAAAACAGCAGAGAUUGUUUUUCAUGUGUUGUAGCAUUUAGCUUGUAAAAUUAUUAUUUUAAAUAUAAUUUUUUUUUACCACACCAGUUGGUGCUUUUGGGGAGCGCUAAGUAUCCGCUUAAUUCUCAUCACUUGGACCGAAUCUGUUAGCGACACUGUAAGGAUAAACGCCUUGAUGGAUGAGUCCAUCUAAAUUGUAAGAUUUAUUUUUUCUAG